AACGAACGCUGGCGGCAGGCUAAACACAUGCAAGUCGAGCGCCCCGCAAGGGGAGCGGCAGACGGGUGAGUAACGCGUGGGAAUCUACUCAUCUCUACGGAAUAACGCAUGGAAACGUGUGCUAAUACCGUAUACGUACUUCGGGAGAAAGAUUUAUCGGAGAUGGAUGAGCCCGCGUUGGAUUAGCUAGUUGGUGGGGUAAAGGCCUACCAAGGCGACGAUCCAUAGCGGGUCUGAGAGGAUGAUCAGCCACACUGGGACUGAGACACGGCCCAGACUACUACGGGGGGCAGCAGUGGGGAAUAUUGGACAAUCGGCGCAAGCCUGAUCCAGCCAUGCCGCGUGAGUGAUGAAGGCCCUAGGGUUGUAAAGCUCUUUCACCGGUGAAGAUAAUGACGGUAACCGGAGAAGAAGCCCCGGCUAACUUCGUGCCAGCCGCCGCAGUAAAAC
rnacentral:rRNA from 1 species